rnacentral:rRNA from 1 species
GUUGAACGCUGGCGGCAGGCCUAACACGUGCAAGUCGGACGGUAGCACAGAGGAGCUUGCUCUUCGGGUGACGAGUGGCGGACGGGUGAGUAAUGUCUGGGGAUCUGCCCGAUAGAGGGGGAUAACCACUGGAAACGGUGGCUAAUACCGCAUAACGUCGCAAGACCAAAGAGGGGGACCUUCGGGCCUCUCACUAUCGGAUGAACCCAGAUGGGAUUAGCUAGUAGGCGGGGUAACGGCCCACCUAGGCGACGAUCCCUAGCUGGUCUGAGAGGAUGACCAGCCACACUGGAACUGAGACACGGUCCAGACUCCUACGGGAGGCAGCAGUGGGGAAUAUUGCACAAUGGGCGCAAGCCUGAUGCAGCCAUGCCGCGUGUAUGAAGAAGGCCUUCGGGUUGUAAAGUACUUUCAGCGGGGAGGAAGGCGAUGUGGUUAAUAACCGCGUCGAUUGACGUUACCCGCAGAAGGAGCACCGGCUAACUCCGUGCCAGCAGCCGCCGUAA